rnacentral:rRNA from 1 species
UACGUAGGGUGCAAGCGUUCAUCGGAAUUACUGGGCGUAAAGUGUGCGCAGGCGGCAGAGCAAGUCGAGUGUGAAAGCCCCGAGCUUAACUUGGGAAUUGCGCUCGAAACUACUUUGCUGGAGUGUGGCAGAGGAAGGUGGAAUUCCAGGUGUAGCGGUGAAAUGCGUAGAGAUCUGGAGGAACACCGAUGGCGAAGGCAGCCCCCUGGGUCAAGAUUGACGCUCAUGCACGAAAGCGUGGGGAGCAAACAGG